CCUACGGGCGGCAGCAGUGGGGAAUAUUGGGCAAUGGACGCAACUCUGACCCAGCAACGCCGCGUGAAUGAUGAAGGUCUUCGGAUUGUAAACUUCUGUGAUGGGGGAUGAACACAAUGACGGUACCCCAAUAGCAAACCACGGCUAACUACGUUCCAGCAGCCGCGGUAAUACGUGGGUGGCAAGCGUUAUCCGGAAUGACUGGGCGUAAAGGGUGCGUAGGUGGUUUAGUAAGUUGGCGGUGUAAUGCCGGGGCUCAACCUGGGCGCUACCGCCGAAACUAUUAGACUGGAGUGCAGGAGAGGUAAGUGGAAGUCCUAGUGUAGCGGUGGAAUGCGUAGAUAUUAGGAGGAACAUCAGGGGCGAAGGCGACUUACUGGACUGUAACUGACACUGAGGCACGAAAGCGUGGGGAGCAAACAGGAUUAGAUACCCUUGUAGUC
rnacentral:rRNA from 1 species